rnacentral:tRNA from 1 species
AGUAAAGUAAGCUAAGGGUAAGCUUUUGGGUUCAUACCUCAGAAAUGGAAGGAUAAACACCUCCCUUUAUUU